rnacentral:tRNA from 3 species
GCCCGGAUGGCGAAACUGGUAGACGCAAGGGACUUAAAAUCCCUCGGUGGCAACACCGUGCCGGUUCGAUUCCGGCUCCGGGCACCA